UACGAAGGGGGCGAGCGUUGUUCGGAUUUACUGGGCGUAAAGGGCGCGCAGGCGGUUCUGUUUGUCGGGUGUGAAAGCCCCGGGCUUAACCCGGGAAUGGCAUUGAAUACUGCUGAUCUGGAGGAUCGGAGGGGGGACUGGAAUUCUUGGUGUAGCAGUGAAAUGCGUAGAUAUGUGGAGGAACACCGAUGGCGAAGGCAGCCCUCUGGGUCAAGACUGACGCUCAUGCACGAAAGCGUGGGGAGCAAACAGG
rnacentral:rRNA from 1 species